AGGUCGUCGCGCUGCGGGUGCGCGGGCUGCUGGAGCGGCGGCGAAGGCGUGAGGCCGAGCUGUCCGGCCUGUUCGACACCGCCAGCGACCUG
rnacentral:tRNA from 1 species